UUUCCGUAGGUGAACCUGCGGAAGGAUCAUUACAGAGACAUUGCCCUUUGGGGUAGAUCUCCCACCCUGUGUAUUAUAUACCUUUUGUUGCUUUGGCGGGCCGCCUCGGCCACCGGCUCCGGCUGGUGCGUGCCCGCCAGAGGACCCCAAACUCUGAAUGUUAGUGUCGUCUGAGUACUAUCUAAUAGUUAAAACUUUCAACAACGGAUCUCUUGGUUCUGGCAUCGAUGAAGAACGCAGC
rnacentral:misc_RNA from 1 species